rnacentral:rRNA from 1 species
UACGUAGGGCGCGAGCGUUGUCCGGAAUUAUUGGGCGUAAAGAGCUUGUAGGCGGUUUGUCGCGUCUGCUGUGAAAAUCCGGGGCUCAACCCCGGACUUGCAGUGGGUACGGGCAGACUAGAGUGUGGUAGGGGAGACUGGAAUUCCUGGUGUAGCGGUGGAAUGCGCAGAUAUCAGGAGGAACACCGAUGGCGAAGGCAGGUCUCUGGGCCAUUACUGACACUGAGAAGCGAAAGCAUGGGGAGCGAACAGG